GGGUGCGACCAUACCAGCACUAACGUGCCGGAUCCCAUUAGAAUUCCGAUGUUAAGCGUGCUUGGACGAGAGUUGUACUAGGAUGGGUGAGCCCCUUGGAAGUCCUCGUGUUGCACCCU
rnacentral:rRNA from 1 species